UAAGGAAUAUUGGUCAAUGGGCGCAAGCCUGAACCAGCCACGCCGCGUGAAGGAAGACGGCCCUAUGGGUUGUAAACUUCUUCUCUACGGGAAUAAACCUCGGGACGUGUCCCGAGCUGAAGGUAUCGUAGGAAUAAGGAUCGGCUAACUCCGUG
rnacentral:rRNA from 1 species